rnacentral:rRNA from 1 species
CCCUUAGAUGUUCUGGGCUGCACGCGCGCUACACUGAUGCAUGCAACGAGUUUUCGACCUUGCCUGAAAAGGUUGGGUAAUCUGUUUAACAUGUGUCGUGAUGGGGAUAGACCAUUGCAAUUAUUGAUCUUCAACGAGGAAUUCCUAGUAAGCGCGAGUCAUCAGCUCGUGCUGAUUACGUCCCUGCCCUUUGUACACACCGCCCGUCGCUCCUACCGAUUGAGUGCUCAGGUGAAUAAUUCGGACUGCAGCAAUGUUUGGAUCCCGAACGUUGCAGCGGAAAGUUUAGUGAACCUUAUCACUUAGAGGAAGGAGAAGUCGUAACA